ACUGCUUCCUGUUUUUCUCUACCGGACGGACGGCAACAGCUCGUGCAAAUGGCCGGAGGUGGGAAUAAUUCCAUCCAGGACACCACAUUGCACUUAGUGAUCGUAUCUCCUUGGGCUCCUCUCGGCUGUGACAGUCUUAGACAUUUCUUGCUUCAGAUGACCUUGGUGCUAUUAACUCGACUUAUCAGGAUGGAUGUCAACUUCGAUCACUAUCCGUUUCUCCACCAUAAAGUUCCUCCCGCCUUUCCGUGCUGUGUUCUUGGGAAUCAGGUUAUUGUGCACAGUCCACCCGGAAGGGCUGAGAGUUCUGUUCCCUUCGUAAGGGUGGAGUAUCUACAUAAAUUAUGUGGAAUUCUUCUGCACGGAAGAUUUUAGUUGUUUGGGAAAUAGAAGCUUCAGGACCUGAGACCUCGUUUUAUGAGCGUCUACAAAUCAGUGAUUUUCUGUCUGUACCUUCGGGCCUGCGACCACCAGGAGCUCACCUGCGGCUAACCUGGCCGGAUCCACCCCUCACUGCAGAGCGGGACUGCACGCUUGGGAACCCUGGGUGUCUCCGUAAGAGGGCGAUAGAAAGGGCUUCCUAUAGGAUUUGUGUCCGGUGAUUCUGAGUUCACAGAAGUGGGUUUGUCUAGAUUGGAUGCUGUGAGGCAGUGGGAGUGAUUAUAUGGUUGGGGUCUUGAUAAGUCUCCUCUAUGGAGGAGGCAGAGCCAGGCUAAGUGUUAGGUGGGAAAGCAGCGCA